rnacentral:rRNA from 1 species
GACGAACGCUGGCGGCGUGCUUAACACAUGCAAGUCGAACGGAAAGGCCCUGCUUUUGUGGGGUGCUCGAGUGGCGAACGGGUGAGUAACACGUGAGUAACCUGCCCUUGACUUUGGGAUAACUUCAGGAAACUGGGGCUAAUACCGGAUAGGAGCCCCCGCUGCAUGGUGGGGGUUGGAAAGUUUCGGCGGUUGGGGAUGGACUCGCGGCUUAUCAGCUUGCUGGUGGGGUAGUGGCUUACCAAGGCUGUGACGGGUAGCCGGCCUGAGAGGGUGACCGGCCACAUUGGGACUGAGAUACGGCCCAGACUCCUACGGGAGGCAGCAGUGGGGAAUAUUGCACAAUGGGCGGAAGCCUGAUGCAGCAACGCCGCGUGCGGGAUGACGGCCUUCGGGUUGUAAACCGCUUUCGCCUGUGACGAAGCGUGAGUGACGGUAAUGGGUAAAGAAGCACCGGCUAACUACGUG